rnacentral:rRNA from 1 species
UGGGGAAUAUUGCACAAUGGGCGCAAGCCUGAUGCAGCCAUGCCGCGUGUAUGAAGAAGGCCUUCGGGUUGUAAAGUACUUUCAGCGGGGAGGAAGGGAGUAAAGUUAAUACCUUUGCUCAUUGACGUUACCCGCAGAAGAAGCACCGGCUAACUCCGUGCCAGCAGCCGCGGUAAUACGGAGGGUGCAAGCGUUAAUCGGAAUUACUGGGCGUAAAGCGCACGCAGGCGGUUUGUUAAGUCAGAUGUGAAAUCCCCGGGCUCAACCUGGGAACUGCAUCUGAUACUGGCAAGCUUGAGUCUCGUAGAGGGGGGUAGAAUUCCAGGUGUAGCGGUGAAAUGCGUAGAGAUCUGGAGGAAUACCGGUGGCGAAGGCGGCUCCCUGGACGAAGACUGACGCUCAGGUGCGAAAGCGUGGGGAGCAAACAGG